AAAGAUGAUCACAUCAAGCCAAACAGCAAAAUCCAAAUCAUUGUUGAUGAACAGAAAAGAGCACAUUUGUGUGCAUUUGUGACCACAAAAAUCACUGCAGGAGAAGAAAUGAUGUUCGACUGCGGAGAUCCUGACUGACCAUGGAGACAGGUAGCAGGAUGCUUGGUCCAUUACAUUCUGACGGAUGGGCAACACCCUUAUCAGACAACUACACCCUACACCAAGGAUCCAUUUGGUCUGUCUCUAAAUGUCAGAACGAAUAACUUCAGUCUUCAGUGUGAUGAAAGACAAAAAAAUAUCUUAAGCACAAUGCUGAGCAAAUCAGUGGAAGAGCAUCCUACUAUUGAGGAAUGCCUUCAGGAAGUCAAAACUAUGUGCAAAGACAUAUUGUAGAGUUGACAAUAAGCAUUAAAAUGAUUGGAUAUAAAUAUUGGUGUGAAUUUACAGGUUUCGAUCACCAGUCUUAUCAAAUAUCAACCACAUACAGGUACAGCAAUGUCCAUGUGGUUUCAGGAAAUAGUGACACAAAGGAUGAUCUUUCUGAAAUAAGGGCUGCCAACUCAGAAAAGACUUCAGCCUUCAGUCUUGGAUACAUCAGUAAAUCACUAGUGCCAUUAAAUCAAAACGGUAUGUUCAAUUCACCAUAAAGAAUACAGAAGAUCUAAAGAUCAUUGUCUUUUCAUGUUUUCAACUUUGUAAAGUAUGUAUUACUGACAUUACAUUUUUUUCAUUCAUUCAUAUAUUUAUUCACUAUAUAUAUUUUUUAUCUUUUCGUUUUGUUAAAUAGCAAAACCCAGAAAGCCCUGGUCAGAAACAGAGAGGAAAGUCAUAGAACACUGUUUCAAGAGCUACUUUAAGGAAAUGAAGGCUCCUGGAAAAGUGGACUAUGAAAAAAUGCAUAAAUGCAAACAAGAUUCUAAAGGAUAAUGGAAGAGACUAGAAAACAGUUAAAUACUUUGUGCUCAACAGAAUAAUUUCAGUUAAGAGAAACUUGGGUCAACAGUACUGAGCCCAUAAACCCUGAGAGCUUGCGAUGUGGAGUAUCAGUGUUGAGUCAUAAUUGUGCUGUGACAUUGAUAGUCCAUGUAAAUGGAGCAUCAGUGCGUCAUAGCAUUGAAAUGAUUGACUACAGCUGUUUUCAGCUGCUGUUUGGGCCUCUGUUUUGGAAUUACCUGUUAUAACUUUGAUGUAAGCCACUGU